rnacentral:pre_miRNA from 1 species
UGUUAAGAGAGGAAAUUCGCACCGGUGCGAGUUUGCACCGAUAACAGUGGAAACUCGCACUGGUGCGAAUUUCCACUUCCCCUUACUU